CAGAGGUCCCAAGCGUUGUUCGGAUUCACUGGGCGUAAAGGGUGCGUAGGUGGCGAGGUAAGUCGGAUGUGAAAUCUCCAAGCUCAACUUGGAAAUGGCAUUGGAAACUACCUUGCUAGAGGUUUGGAGGGGGGACUGGAAUUCUCGGUGUAGCAGUGAAAUGCGUAGAUAUCGAGAGGAACACCAGUGGCGAAGGCGAGUCCCUGGACAACACCUGACACUGAGGCACGAAAGCUAGGGGAGCAAACAGGAUUAGAUACCCUGGUAGUCCUAGCUGUAAACGGUGCUUGCUUGCUGUAAAAGGAAUCGACCCCUUUUGUGGCGAAGCCAACGCGAUAAGCAAGCCGCCUGGGAAGUACGGUCGCAAGAUUA
rnacentral:rRNA from 1 species